rnacentral:rRNA from 1 species
CCUACGGGAGGCUGCAGUAGGGAAUCUUCCACAAUGGGCGAAAGCCUGAUGGAGCAACGCCGCGUGGGUGAAGAAGGUCUUCGGAUCGUAAAACCCUGUUGUUAGAGAAGAAAGUGCGUGAGAGUAACUGUCCACGUUUCGACGGUAUCUAACCAGAAAGCCACGGCUAACUACGUGCCAGCAGCCGCGGUAAUACGUAGGUGGCAAGCGUUAUCCGGAUUUAUUUGGCGUAAAGGGAACGCAGGCGGUCUUUUAAGUCUGAUGUGAAAGCCUUCGGCUUAACCGGAGUAGUGCAUUGGAAACUGGGAGACUUGAGUGCAGAAGAGGAGAGUGGAACUCCAUGUGUAGCGGUGAAAUGCGUAGAUAUAUGGAAGAACACCAGUGGCGAAAGCGGCUCUCUGGUCUGUAACUGACGCUGAGGUUCGAAAGCGUGGGUAGCAAACAGGAUUAGAUACCCCAGUAGUC